rnacentral:rRNA from 1 species
UAAUAUAUGUGCAUUAAAACCAACUCAGAUUUUGUCAACAACUUUUAUACAAAUAUAAUAAGGGUAUUAAGGAGAGUAGUACUAGGAUGGGUGACCUCCUGGGAAGUCCUCGUGUUUCAC